UUACGGCUAUAUCACGCUGAAACACUGGUUCUCGUACGAUCACUGAAAUUAAGCAACGUCGAGCCUGGUCAGUACCUGGAUAGGUGACUGCUUGGGAAUACCAUAUGCUAU